GGGGGAAAAAUUAAUUAAUAAUUAUAUUAAUAAAAAAAUUUUUAAAGUAUAUUUUAAUGGGGGUUAAAGUAUAUGUAUAGAAAAAAUUUUUAGAUUUAUAGUAGAAUAGUAUUGUAAAAGAAUUUUGAAAUAGGGAAAAUUAAUUUAAUAAAAAGUAAUUUUAAUUUAUUGUAUCUUGUGUAUCAGAGUUUAUUAAUAAUUUUUUUUGAUUUAAAAUUUCUCGAAUUUAAAAGAGUUAAUUAAUUAUAAAAGUUAAUGUAGUAUAAUUAUUUUUAAUAAUUAAUUAGAAAUGAAAUGUUAAUCGUUUUUAAAAAUAUCUAGUUUUUUUAGAAAAAAAUUUAAUUUUAAAUAUUAUAAUCUAAAAUUUUUAUUUAAUAAAAUUUUAAUAGUGUUAAUAUUAAAUAUUUUAAGGGAUAAGCUUUAAAAUAAAUUUUUAUAAUAAGUUUUAAAAUUAAUUAAAAUUUUAAAAUUUAAAUUGUUUAAUAAAUUAUAAUUUUUUAUAAAUAAUUUAAUUAUAAUUAAAAUUUAAUAAAAAAAAUUUAAAUUUUUAUAAAAAAAUAUAUUUUAAUAAAAUAAAAUUAAAUAUAAUGAUAAAAUUAGUAUAUAAAUUUAAAUAAAUGAAUAAAUUUAAUUGAAGUUAAUUAAAGGAAUUCGGCAAAUUUUAUAUUCACUUGUUUAUCAAAAACAUGUCUUUUUGGAAAUAAUUUAAAGUCUAAUCUGCCCACUGAUAAAUUAUUAAAGGGCUGCAGUAUUUUGACUGUACAAAGGUAGCAUAAUCAUUAGUCUCUUAAUUGGUGACUUGUAUGAAAGAUUGGAUGAAAUAUAUACUGUCUCUAUUUAAUUUAUAAAAUUUAAUUUUUUAGUAAAAAAGCUAAAAUGAGUUUAAAAGACGAGAAGACCCUAUAGAGUUUGAUAGUUUAUUUAAUUAUUAUUAAUAUAUAAAUUUUAAAAUUAAGAUUAAAUAAUUUAUUUUAUUGGGGUGAUAGAAAAAUUAAAUUAACUUUUUUUUUAUUUUAUACAUUAAUUUAUGAAUAAAUGAUCUAUUAAUAAUGAUUAAAAGAAAAAAUUACCUUAGGGAUAACAGCGUAAUUUUUUUUUUUAGUUCAAAUAGGAAAAAAAGUUUGCGACCUCGAUGUUGGAUUAAGAUAAAAUUUAAAUGCAAAAGUUUAAAAUUUUGAUCUGUUCGAUCAUUAAAAUCUUACAUGAUCUGAGUUCAAACCGGUGUGAGCCAGGUUGGUUUCUAUCUUUAAAUAAUAAUGAUAUUUUAGUACGAAAGGAUCAAAUAUUAAAAAUAAUUUUAAUAAAAUGAAUAUUAAUAAAUAAUUAAUUUA
rnacentral:rRNA from 1 species